UGGUUCCGGCAGACAAACGGCCAUUUUUGUAACAAUUCUUGCACGCGCUCAACUGAUGUGACGCCGUCGUGCUAUACUAAAGUGAAAUUAACAACAUUGUAUUAUUCAAUUUGUUUGAUUUGAGCUGAAUAUCUAUACUACUCAAAAUGAGUUACGGAAGACCUCCGCCACGAAUCGAUGGCAUGGUCUCGUUAAAAGUAGAUAAUCUUACCUACCGAACGACGCCUGAAGACUUACGCCGCGUUUUCGAAAGGUGCGGAGAAGUUGGUGAUAUCUACAUUCCCAGAGAUCGGUACACAAGGGAAAGUAGAGGAUUCGCCUUCGUGAGGUUUUUCGAGCGUCGUGACGCUGAAGAAGCCCUGGACACGAUGGACGGACGAAUGUUGGACGGCAGGGAACUUCGCGUUCAGAUGGCGCGAUAUGGUCGCCCCUCAUCGCCAUACAGGAGUCGUUACGAUCGCAGGCGCAGGUCCAGGUCUCGUUCCCGCCGUCGUAGUUACUCGCGCAGUCGUAGCCGCAGCCGUUCCCGCAGUCGCUCUCGCUCUGACUCAAAGAGUUCCAGGGGACGUUCCCGCUCACACAGUCGUUCUCGCUCACGAUCCAGACACUGAAAUGUCCUUAUGGUGUGAGAGUGUACCUGUUGAGAGCUGAAGUGCUGUACUAGACGAUUGAGCAGCCUUUAGCCAAGGUACUAAUCACAACUAUUAUAUAAGCCACCCUCAGACCUAACUAUGGUGAACAUAGUGACAACACAUUCAAUGUAACAAAUUAUCUAUAAGUUUCUAUAGGUUAACUUACUACAUUUAAGAUUGUAUUCAUUUCUUUUUAUUUUCAUUGUGUGUGACUGUUUCAUCUUUAUAAAAAAAAGGAAAUUAUGGCGUGUGCUACCUCUCUUGGGAUUGUAAUAUUAAUUGGAUUUAAAUUUUUAUCUUAGUAUGUGUAGCUUUAUAUUUUUUGUCUUCUGACUUUCUUGAGGUUUUAAAAUUUAAUGAAUUUUAAAUAAUUGGUACAAUAUUAGAUGUGAUGUGGGAGCGGUUAGAUAUUAUUUCAGGUUCAUAAAACAAUCUGGAAGACUAAACCACUACAAGGAUUAUUUGGGCUAACUUGGGCAUUAAUUUGUGAACUCCAAUUUUGGUAAUGAUAAAAUUUCAUAAAACAAUGUCCCUAAUACUUAAAAAUGCUAAUAAUUGAGUACUGGGUUGUUGAAGAUGUAUCUGAGUGUAAAAAUAAUUUGCAUAUAACUAUUAAUACUAAUGUAAUAUGACCCAACCUAAUACUCAGGAUUGUAUUAUGUAGAAUUCUUACGUAUGUAAAUUUAAUUACUUCAAGAUUAACUGAUGAAUUGGUAUGCUCAGGGCGUGAGGUGAGCGCGUGGAGCGUUGCUGUGUGCGGGGAGGGGGUUGUGUGCGCUGUUUGCUGACAAACGCGGAAUUGCCGUAAUUGCAGUAUCAAAGUUAUGAGUAAAUCUUUGUAUUUAUUGCCCAACCGACACAUGCAUUUUGUACAAAAUUAAUGACACGUUGCUAUAUAAUAAUAUAGCAUUACAAAAAAAAUAAAAAAAUUAUAAAAUGUAAGUAUAUAAAAGAUCUUUAUUCCUAUGAUAAACAAACUUUAUAUCAACAAUAUUGAUGCAAAAGAGUUGAUAUAGUAAGUAAAAUGUGUGCACAGAUUUCUAGUAGUAAUCAGAACAAUAAUGCAUCAGAAACAAACCCAGAGGCUGUAUGUUGUUGGAGCACAGACUGCACUAACAUUUGCAUUUGUUUAACAGGCCGGUGCUGCUCGCUGGCCUGUAUGCUGUUGCAGUCUUCUAUGCUGUUUCGAGCUCGUCUAGGUUCUUAUCGGUAACCCCCUGCCCUCCUUUGUGUGCAUUGCCUUUAAACUUGUAGUUUGAGCAUGACUUGCUGUAAAAGGUUUGUAGCAAGCGUCUUUUGCUUUCAAUGUAUUUAGAAGAGAAGAUCGUCACACAUGGAUCAGCUACAGGAUUUUGUCGUAGGUUUUUUUGUCAAAUAAAAUAAUAACUAUGUAAA